AUGGCCACAUCAUGUUGAAACGUUGUUUCCCCAUACGAUCACCAAAGUUAAGCAACGUUGAGACUGGUCAGUACCUAGAUGGGUGACCACUUGGAAAUACCAGGUGCUGCAAG